CGUUUCUUAAGGAAUUAUUUUUGCUCCCUCAAUUGAUAAAUUUGUAAUAUAAAUAAAGAUUCUAUAGCAAUUUAUUUAUUAUACAUGAGAACUUAAAAUAUGUAAAUAAAAUGAUGUUAUAUGUUGAUGCAGCUCAGAGGCAAGUUGCAACCAGUUUCGAUUGCCUGAGACUUCGACUUCGGGUUCGGGUUCGACUUCAACUUCAACUGCGACUGCGACUGGUAGGCGAUUGAUGCAGGGGGGAGUGGCUCUCUUUUGGUUUGCAUGCCAGCAGCAAAUAAAAGGCAAAUACACGCACAAAAUGACUCUACAAUCCACUCUCCACACUCUCUACACUUGCUUCGACUGUAGAUUAUCGCAAAGACUGAUCUGAUUGGGUCAUCGAACAAGUGAUUUGCCACUGGCAUUCGUUGAUUACACGAUGCCACCUGGAUGCAUCUAUCUGAAUAUGAAGAUGAAGAUGCUCAACUGGAUAUGCUAACUAUGUAAGCAACAUGAUCUUCACGUUAUGAUUAAACAUAGACUUCAAGUUGGAUAAAUAUCACGUUU